UGGGGAAUAUUGGACAAUGGGCGCAAGCCUGAUCCAGCCAUACCGCGUGGGUGAAGAAGGCCUUCGGGUUGUAAAGCCCUUUUGUUGGGAAAGAAAUCCUGUCGAUUAAUACUCGGUGGGGAUGACGGUACCCAAAGAAUAAGCACCGGCUAACUUCGUGCCAGCAGCCGCGGUAAUACGAAGGGUGCAAGCGUUACUCGGAAUUACUGGGCGUAAAGCGUGCGUAGGUGGUGGUUUAAGUCUGCUGUGAAAGCCCUGGGCUCAAGGGGGGAAUGGCGGUGGGUGUGGGAGCACGGGAGUGUGGGAGGGGGAUGCGGAAUAGCUGGGGGGGGAGUGAAAGGCGUGGAGAGCAGAGGGAACAGGCGGGGAGAAGGGGGGAUCCGGGGCGAACAGUGACACGGAGGCAGGAAAGGGUGGGGAG
rnacentral:rRNA from 1 species